GGGGAAUUGUUCGCAAUGGGCGCAAGCCUGACGACGCAACGCCGCGUGGAGGAUGAAGAUCUUCGGGUCGUAAACUCCUGUCGAGCGGGAAGAAUUGCUUCGGAAUCAACACCUCCGAAGUUUGACGGUACCGCUAAAGGAAGCCCCGGCUAACUCCGUGCCAGCAGCCGCGGUAAUACGGGGGGGGCAAGCGUUGUUCGGAAUUACUGGGCGUAAAGGGCUCGUAGGCGGCCAACUAAGUCAUACGUGAAAUCCCUCGGCUUAACCGGGGAACUGCGUCUGAUACUGGAUGGCUUGAGUUCGGGAGAGGGAUGCGGAAUUCCAGGUGUAGCGGUGAAAUGCGUAGAUAUCUGGAGGAACACCGGUGGCGAAGGCGGCAUCCUGGACCGAUACUGACGCUGAUGAGCGAAAGCCAGGGGAGCAAAC
rnacentral:rRNA from 1 species